GAUGAACGCUAGCGGCAGGCUUAAUACAUGCAAGUCGAACGGUAGAAGUCUCUUCGGAGGCUUUGAGAGUGGCGCACGGGUGCGUAACGCGUAUGCAACCUGCCUUCAGUUGGGGGAUAGCCCGGGGAAACCCGGAUUAAUACCGCAUAAUACAGGGGCCCCGCAUGGGGAUAUUUGUUAAAGAUUUAUCGACUGAAGAUGGGCAUGCGUCUGAUUAGCUAGUUGGUGAGGUAAUGGCCCACCAAGGCGACGAUCAGUAGGGGAUCUGAGAGGAUGGCCCCCCACACUGGUACUGAGAUACGGACCAGACUCCUACGGGAGGCAGCAGUAAGGAAUAUUGGACAAUGGGCGGAAGCCUGAUCCAGCCAUGCCGCGUGCAGGAAGACGGCCCUAUGGGUUGUAAACUGCUUUUGUAAGGGAAUAAUAAGGCGAACGAGUUUCGCUGAUGAAGGUACCUUACGAAUAAGCAUCGGCUAACUCCGUGCCAGCAGCCGCGGUAAUACGGAGGAUGCAAGCGUUAUCCGGAUUUAUUGGGUUUAAAGGGUGCGUAGGCGGCCUUUUAAGUCAGGGGUGAAAUGUUGCGGCUUAACCGCAGAAUUGCCUUUGAUACUGGGAGGCUUGAAUGAAGUUGAGGUAGGCGGAAUGUGGCAAGUAGCGGUGAAAUGCAUAGAGAUGCCACAGAACACCGAUUGCGAAGGCAGCUUACUAAGCUUUGAUUGACGCUGAGGCACGAAAGCGUGGGGAUCAAACAGGAUUAGAUACCCUGGUAGUCCACGCAGUAAACGAUGAGAACUAGCUGUUGGCGAUAGAAUGUCAGCGGCACAGCGAAAGCGUUAAGUUCUCCACCUGGGGAGUACGACCGCAAGGUUGAAACUCAAAGGAAUUGACGGGGGCCCGCACAAGCGGAGGAGCAUGUGGUUUAAUUCGAUGAUACGCGAGGAACCUUACCUGGGCUUGAAAGUGAGUGACCGGCGCUGAAAGGCGCCUUCCCUUCGGGGCACAAAACUAGGUGCUGCAUGGCUGUCGUCAGCUCGUGCCGUGAGGUGUUGGGUUAAGUCCCGCAACGAGCGCAACCCCUAUCAUCAGUUGCCAUCAGGUAAAGCUGGGGACUCUGGUGAGACUGCCUGCGCAAGCAGUGAGGAAGGCGGGGACGACGUCAAGUCAUCAUGGCCCUUACGUCCAGGGCUACACACGUGCUACAAUGGCAGCUACAGAGGGCCGCGACCGUGCAAACGGGAGCUAAUCUCAAAAAGGUUGUCACAGUUCGGAUUGAGGUCUGCAACUCGACCUCAUGAAGUUGGAUUCGCUAGUAAUCGCGUAUCAGCAAUGACGCGGUGAAUACGUUCCCGGGCCUUGUACACACCGC
rnacentral:rRNA from 1 species